rnacentral:rRNA from 1 species
GUGAGGAAUAUUGGUCAAUGGGCGGGAGCCUGAACCAGCCAAGUCGCGUGAAGGAAGAAGGAUCUAUGGUUCGUAAACUUCUUUUGCAGGGGAAUAAAAUGCGGGACGUGUCCUGUUUUGUAUGUACCCUGAGAAUAAGGAUCGGCUAACUCCGUGCCAGCAGCCGCGGUAAUACGGAGGAUCCGAGCGUUAUCCGGAUUUAUUGGGUUUAAUGGGUGCGUAGGUGGUUUGAUAAGUCAGCGGUGAAAGUUUGCAGCUUAACUGUAAAAAUGCCGUUGAAACUGUCGGACUUGAGUGUAAAUGAGGUAGGCGGAAUGCGUGGUGUAGCGGUGAAAUGCAUAGAUAUCACGCAGAACUCCGAUUGCGAAGGCAGCUUACUAAGCUACAACUGACACUGAAGCACGAAAGCGUGGGGAUCAAACAGGAUUAGAAACCCGGGUAGUCC